UCUUUGUUUUUUCCUAUAUAUAAACAUAAAUAGGUAAUGAGCACUUUCUACUUGAGCAAUAAAAAGACCCAAUGUAUUACACCCUGUGUCCGGUGAAGUGGCAUAAAAAUCACAUGUGAAAUUCCGUCCUACCCCUUGACAAUCUUUAUCAACUUAAAUCAUUCGAGUAAGAAAUGAGAGGAAAUGUGUAUGAGGGGCUAGAUUCACAAAACUGAUGGCAAAGAAGAAACCUUCCUCCUCACUGAAGUUUGUACCUCGGGGUGUAAAUCACCAAAACUGCACGAGGAAGUUGUUAUUCUUUUCCUCAGGAUGUGUGACUUUAAUCCUUUAAUGCAAAUUAGUGUGGUAGCUACCAAUGGCACCUUCAGGCUUGAAGGAAUAUCUAUAUUUGGAGGCACGUCAAUUAAUUUGCAUAUCAGAUUCAUCAUUGUGACUUCUUGCAGGCCAGAUCUGAGAAGUAACCAGGAAACCUGACCCUUAGUGGAGAAUGGAAAAACCCUUGAAGUCAGAGCACAACUGAUC
rnacentral:lncRNA from 1 species